rnacentral:rRNA from 1 species
GCAGUCGAGCGCACCUUUUCGGAGGUGAGCGGCGCACGGGUGAGUAACGCGUGGGAACCUACCCUGGGGUAGGGGAUAACCGCUGGAAACGGCGGCUAAUACCCUAUACGUCCUUCGGGAGAAAGAUUUAUCGCCCUGGGAUGGGCCCGCGUCGGAUUAGCUAGUUGGUGGGGUAAAGGCUCACCAAGGCGACGAUCCGUAGCUGGUCUGAGAGGAUGAUCAGCCACACUGGGACUGAGACACGGCCCAGACUCCUACGGGAGGCAGCAGUGGGGAAUAUUGGACAAUGGGCGCAAGCCUGAUCCAGCCAUGCCGCGUGAGUGAAGAAGGCCUUAGGGUUGUAAAGCUCUUUCACCCGCGAAGAUGAUGACGGUAGCGGGAGAAGAAGCCCCGGCUAACUCCGUGCCAGCAGCCGCGGUAAUACGGAGGGGGCAAGCGUUGUUCGGAUUUACUGGGCGUAAAGGGCGCGUAGGCGGAUGUUCGCGUCAGAGGUGAAAGCCCCGGGCUCAACCUGGGAACUGCCUUUGAAACGGGACAUCUUGAGUUCGGAAGAGGGUAGCGGAAUUCCCAGUGUAGAGGUGAAAUUCGUAGAUAUUGGGAAGAACACCAGUAGCGAAGGCGGCUACCUGGUCCGACACUGACGCUGAGGCGCGAAAGCGUGAGGAGCAAACAGGAUUAGAUACCCUGGCAGUCCACGCCGUAAACGAUGUGCGCUAGCCGUUGGGAUGCUUGGCAUUUCGGUGGCGAAGUUAACGCAUUAAGCGCACCGCCUGGGGAGUACGGCCGCAAGGUUACAACUCAAAUGAAUUGACGGAA